UAACGCGUAGGUAACCUGCCUGGUAGCGGGGGAUAACUAUUGGAAACGAUAGCUAAUACCGCAUGACAACAGUUAUUGCAUGAUAACUGUUUAAAGGGGCAAUUGCUCCACUACCAGAUGGACCUGCGUUGUAUUAGCUAGUUGGUGAGGUAACGGCUCACCAAGGCGACGAUACAUAGCCGACCUGAGAGGGUGAUCGGCCACACUGGGACUGAGACACGGCCCAG
rnacentral:rRNA from 1 species